rnacentral:sRNA from 1 species
UUUCUGCUCAGGAUGAUUAGGACUUAGAGUUACUCAUUUGACCAAAUGGUCUCUCAGAACCAUCCCUUUUGCUUGGGGCCCAUGGAAUAUUUUACCUCAGACCAUGGAGCAUUGAUCCCUCUGUUGAAGGUUCACUGAAAUCCAAAAGGAGGGAGCAAAUCCUGGAAUCUCAUGCUACUUCCUUGUGUAAGGUCACAUGAUAUGUUGUGAAGUCAUCAGUCUGGUGCUCAUUUCUUUUUGGUUGAAUAUAGUUUUUAGGAGGCAAUCAGGCUUAGGACACCCCCAACUUUUCUUGAAUCAUGGAAUCUAUAUUCAGUCUCUUGCAGAUUCAGCUAAAGAUGUGUAUAUGCUAGACUGUGAAGUACCAUUAGAAGAUGAAGCAAUGUAGGACCUCUUGAGCUAUUUUCAAGGUAAACUGGAGGUUCACUUGGGAUGCAAUGAAGAGCCCCUGACAAGCAUAUUCUUCAAAGCCUCCCAUGGUGUAACUGAAGAUACGAUAUGUGAAGUAGCCCUAGCUUGCCUGCUCAAGAGGUGUCCUUUCACAUGCAGAGGAAUGUGUAGAUGGACAUAUAUUUGAAUAAGAUACUGAACCUAAGACUACUGCAUUAGAGCCUCGUACAAGACUUCUAAGACUGUUGACUGCCUACCAUGGAUAUUCAGGCAUCUGCAGAUACUACCUUUUGAGGAAUGAAUCCUUCUCAGGAGACAAUAGACGGAACCUGCACUUCAAUGAUAAUUAAAUGGCACUUCAAGAUAUCAAAUCAAAAUAUCAAAGUGAGAAUGGAAUAAAUUUAUUAGUACAGUGUUUUGCAAACAACUUCUUUCACA